rnacentral:rRNA from 1 species
CCUACGGGUGGCAGCAGUGAGGAAUAUUGGUCAAUGGACGCAAGUCUGAACCAGCCAUGCCGCGUGCAGGAAGACGGCUCUAUGAGUUGUAAACUGCUUUUGUACGAGGGUAAACGCAGAUACGCGUAUCUGUCUGAAAGUAUCGUACGAAUAAGGAUCGGCUAACUCCGUGCCAGCAGCCGCGGUGAUACGGAGGAUUCAAGCGUUAUCCGGAUUUAUUGGGGUUAAAGGGUGCGUAGGCGGUCGGAUAAGUUAGAGGUGAAAUCCCGAGGCUCAACUUCGGAGUUGCCUCUGAUACUGUUAGGCUAGAGAGUAGUUGCGGUAGGCGGAAUGUAUGGUGUAGCGGUGAAAUGCUUAGAGAUCAUACAGAACACCGAUUGCGAAGGCAGCUUACCAAGCUACGUCUGACGUUGAGGCACGAAAGCGUGGGGAGCAAACAGGAUUAGAUACCCUAGUAGUC